AGUUGAAUCAUGUGAAAACCAUCCUUAAGCUAAAAACUAAAAACAUGGCACCUUAACCGUAGAUUUUUGAUCUAUCAAAUCUUACUGUCGAGAUUUUUUUCCCCCAAUUUUCAUGCAAAAUGUCUACACUUUCUCUCUCCUCCUUCAUUUGCAUGUUAAUUUCUUCCUCCUCUACCUUCUCUCUCCUACUUUCUCUCUCCUAAUUUCUGCCAAUUUCAUGCUACUUCUUCAAAUCUAGCUUCAAUUACUUUGAUUUUCAGGUCAGAGCACUGCAUACUUGCAUUCCAACCGAAUUAUUCACAGGGACAUGAAGCCGCAAAAUAUUCUUAUUGGUUUAGGCUCCAUUGUUAAGCUUUGUGAUUUUGGAUCUGCUCGUGCCAUGUCAAUGAACACUGUUGUUCUUCGCUCCAUCAAAGGUACUCCAUUGUACAUGGCUCCUGAGCUUGUUCGCGAACAGCUAUACAAUCACACAGCUGACUUGUUGUCAAAAUUGAUAUAAUUACCUUAUUUUUAUAUAUAAUGACCUUCGUUAUUUUUAUAUAUAGUGACCUCUGUAUAAAUGUGUUCAAAAUUG